rnacentral:rRNA from 1 species
GACGAACGCUGGCGGCGUGCUUAACACAUGCAAGUCGAACGGAAAGGCCCUGCUUUUGUGGGGUGCUCGAGUGGCGAACGGGUGAGUAACACGUGAGUAACCUGCCCUUGACUUUGGGAUAACUUCAGGAAACUGGGGCUAAUACCGGAUAGGAGCUCCUGCUGCAUGGUGGGGGUUGGAAAGUUUCGGCGGUUGGAGAUGGACUCGCGGCUUAUCAGCUUGUUGGUGGGGUAGUGGCUUACCAAGGCUUUGACGGGUAGCCGGCCUGAGAGGGUGACCGGCCACAUUGGGACUGAGAUACGGCCCAGACUCCUACGGGAGGCAGCAGUGGGGAAUAUUGCACAAUGGGCGGAAGCCUGAUGCAGCAACGCCGCGUGCGGGAUGACGGCCUUCGGGUUGUAAACCGCUUUCGCCUGUGGCGAAGCGUGAGUGACGGUAAUGGGUAAAGAAGCACCGGCUAACUACGUG